rnacentral:rRNA from 1 species
UACGGAGGGUGCAAGCGUUAACCGGAAUCAAUGGGUUUAAAGGGUGCGUAGGCGGCUUUGUAAGUCAGGGGUGAAAGCCCGCAGCUUAACUGCGGAACUGCCUUUGAUACUGCAGAGCUUGAAAGAGGUUGAGGUCAGCGGAACGUGACAUGUAGCGGUGAAAUGCAUAGAUAUGUCACAGAACACCAAUUGCGAAGGCAGCUGGCUGGGCUUACUUUGACGCUGAGGCACGAAAGCGUGGGGAGCGAACAGG